GGCGCUGUGGCUUAGCAGGUCAAAGAGCCUGUCUUGUAAACAGGAGAUCCUAGUCUCAAAUCCCAGCAGUGCCU
rfam:Danio rerio chromosome 4, GRCz11 reference primary assembly.